AGAGUAAAUCGGGCGAUCGCGGUAAUUUAUAACAAUUAUCGAGGAAGGUCCGGACUCCUCAGGACAAGAUAGCGGCUAACGGCCGCCUAGUCAUAAUAGAUCCAAUAUGACUAAGAAAUAGGGCCACAGAGACGAGUAAGCAAGGAUUCAAGAUUUUUUAUAUAAAGAUAUGUUUUGUUUUAUGUUAUAAACUUGAUACCUUGCAUGGUGAAACGCGGUAACCUUUAUCUGGAGCAACAUCAAAUAGGCAUACGUUUAGUUUAUCUAUGUAGAAUGGUCCGUUCGAGUAUGCGGGUAGAUGGCUACAACAAACUUGCAAAAUUUUGUGCAGAUGAAUGAUCGCUAAUCACAAAUGUGAUACAGAAUCCGGCCUACAGAUUUGCUCUGCUU
rnacentral:RNase_P_RNA from 2 species